rnacentral:rRNA from 1 species
UACAGAGGUCUCAAGCGUUGUUCGGAUUCAUUGGGCGUAAAGGGUGCGUAGGCGGCGCGGUAAGUCGGGUGUGAAAUCUCGGGGCUUAACUCCGAAACUGCAUUCGAUACUGCCGUGCUUGAGGACUGGAGAGGAGACUGGAAUUUACGGUGUAGCGGUGAAGUGCGUAGAUAUCGUAAGGAAGACCAGUGGCGAAGGCGGGUCUCUGGACAGUUCCUGACGCUGAGGCACGAAGGUCAGGGGAGCGAACAGG